UUAUAAGUCCUACAAAUUCUGUAAGAGUAAGAUAAUAUUUAACCAUAAUUUUAUAAGAGGUACAUUUAGAAAGAUCCAAUCAAUGGGAUUUUACUUGCAGAUAUCCAAAGUUAAAAAGAAAAAAAAGUUUGAGCAAGAAUAUAAAGGCCCUAAACUCCUUAUUGCUCCAGUUUAACAAGGAAUUAAGAGUAGAGUUCGUCAAAGAAAUAAUUGAAGACACCCUGGGAAGAGGCGACGGAGGUUUUCAAGUUUAUCAUGAAUCAUUCAGUGCCGUUGGCAAAGCCUUGCUGGAACUUAUGAUAUUAUAAUGAAUCUUAAAAUGUAAUUUAAGUUUUCACUAAGGACUUAAUUCUGAUUCUUAAGGGGAAUUUUAUCCGAGAAAGGACUGCACGCCUGAGUCCCGAGAGACACAUUCUGUUGAUCAUGAUAAUGUUUUCCCUGAAGGAGAAAAGAAAGGACCACAAACCAAGUUUCAUACCUGAUUUCCCAUUUCAGAAAGAGGAUGCUACUGCAUUGGGUUAUUGCUUAAUCAUGCAUUAUUAUCUUCUCAAUAAUAUUCACAACAAACUCACAGACAACUGAGGUCACCCUGUAAGGUUGUAAAGAUGAUUUACAAUCAGUUGGGAAGGUAUAAUAUGAAGAUUCAAAGGCGAGGAGCUAGCAAGAAGAGGCUUUAUCCUACCUGGUAUAAGAUUUCAGUAAAGGAAAGUCAACCUCAUCACAGAGUGUGGAUGCUGGUGGAUUACGUGCACAGACCAACCUGUGUCAGCCUUUGUUGAUAUGUUCGGUAAGGGAUUUAAACCUUUCUCUUGGGAUGUUGACUGCUUCCAGAUUAUGCAACAAAACAAACUAAUUAAUUGGAUCUAUCCAUCCACCCAUCAAUUGAUCUGUGAUCUACUCCUUCAUCUAUGUUGGUUACAUUUUUGUCAACUUGACAGAAGCUAGAGUCAUCUAUGAAUUGGGAAUGACAGUUGGAGAACCGCACCCAUCAAAUUGGUCUGUAAACAAGUCUGCAGACCAUUUUCAUGAUUGGUGACUGAUGUGUGGCACUGUGGGAAGUGCCACCCACAGCAGGGAAGUGACCAUGCAGACCAGAAUAACAAAAUGUCAUUCCUAUGAAGAGAUGUAGCAUAAGAGUGCUAUGGAACACCAGGUACAGAAGCCAAGGAGCAUUUUAGAAGCCUUCCACUGAUAGCAGAGAUGGAACCAUUUUACAGACAUUGCUCUGACUGAGAAAUUGUUAGUACAAUGCUCUGAGUUCUUCCUCAUUGAGGAGUAUCGGCUGGAUCGUCUCAUGAAUCAGGUGGACUUAUGUUGGAGGGUGACAUGGAGUAGGUUUGGGGGAAGGUUAGUAUAGUUCAUAUCACUUAUAGCCUGGAAGCAGUUUCAAUGACGAGGAACUAAUUUUUCACUUUCUGUCAACUGCUUUGUCCUGAAUGUGUAUAGAGCUUGAUGCUGGUCUCUACAUUAAAAGUUCUGUGUUAUGAAGAUACAAGACUUGAAGCUAUUGAAACCACCUGCUGUUUUUCCGUUCACCUGGCUUAACCACUGAUGUCUACUGAUAUUGAUGAGUAACCAGCUUUAAAAUAUAGAGUAGCCUGUAGAUCACUGACUAUAUGCAGGUGAAGGCAGGUGAAUGAUAAGGCUAGAAAUCCCCAUAAUUAUUGGGAAUUUCUUAGAUAGAUGAUUAAAUAAUAAGUAGGCUGCUUUUGCU
rnacentral:lncRNA from 1 species